CACAGGCUUGGUCCUAGCCUUUCUAUUAGUUAUUAAUAAACUUACACAUGCAAGAAUCCUCGCCCCAGUGAAAAUGCCCUCUAAACCAUUAGCGGUAAAAAGGAGCUGGUAUCAAGCACACUAAAAGUAGCUCAAAACACCUUGCUUAGCCACACCCCCACGGGAAACAGCAGUGAUAAAAAUUAAGCAAUAAAUGAAAGUCUGACUAAGUUAUAUUACUAAGGACUGGUAAAUCUCGUGCCAGCCACCGCGGUCAUACGAUUAGGCCAAACUAAUAGAUACACGGCGUAAAGAGUGUUUUAGGAUAUAACAACCAAUAAAAUUAAACCUUAACUAAGCUGUAAAAAGCUACAGUUACCGUAAAAUACGUUACGAAAGUAAUUUUAAAAAACCUGAUUACACUACAGCUAAGACCCAAACUGGGAUUAGAUACCCCACUAUGCUUAGCCCUAAACAUAAAGAAUUCUUUAAACAAAAUUAAUCGCCAGAGAACUACCAGCAAAAGCUAGAAACUCAAAGGACUUGGCGGUGCCUUAUAUCCCCCUAGAGGAGCCUGUUCUAUAAUCGAUAAACCCCGAUAUACCUCACCAAUCUUAGCUAAAUCAGCCUAUAUACCGCCAUCUUCAGCAAACCCUAAUAAAGGAAGCAUAGUAAGCAGAAUCAUUAGCAUAAAAACGUUAGGUCAAGGUGUAGCUUAUAGAUUGGAAAGCAAUGGGCUACAUUUUCCUCCCAUUAAGGAAAACACUAAACGAAAACUUAUAUGAAAAUAUACGUUAAAGGCGGAUUUAGUAGUAAAUUAAGAAUAGAGUGCUUAAUUGAAUAGGGCCAUGAGGCACGCACACACCGCCCGUCACCCUCCUCAAAUAAAAAUAUCUAUAAUUACAUAAAACCUAGUAUAUUAACCUAUGAGAGGAGACAAGUCGUAACAAGGUAAGUGUACUGGAAAGUGCACUUGGAUAAC
rnacentral:ncRNA from 1 species